rnacentral:tRNA from 1 species
GGGUGCGUAGCUCAGCGGGAGAGCGCUUCCUUCACACGGAAGAGGUCACAGGUUCAAUCCCUGUCGCACCCACCA